rnacentral:lncRNA from 1 species
CUUUCUCUUUUCAUUUAUUAGUCCCAUGAAAUUUCCCUACUUUGUUAGUGGCUUUUGCGUUCUGCUUGUUGCAAGAAUUAUGAUUAAAUUUGAAGAGGCAAAAGUGAACAAUACCUGUGCAAGCCUUUAGCAAGAUAAGCAAACACAAGCAAGCGGAUGGUCUUACUGAAUUACAAAGAAAAUAAAACAUUGGAAGCUUCACCUGUUACUUAUUUU